GGAGAGGUGGCAGAGCGGUCGAUUGCGCUCGUUUGGAAGACGAGAAAUUGCUAACAAAGCAGUUCGAGGGUUCAAAUCCCUCCCUCUCCU
rnacentral:tRNA from 1 species